GACGAACGCUGGCGGCGUGCCUAAUACAUGCAAGUCGAGCGCAGGAAACUGACGGAACUCUUCGGAGGGAAGGCAGUGGAGUGAGCGGCGGACGGGUGAGUAACACGUAAGGAACCUGCCUCAAGGAUUGGGAUAACUCCGAGAAAUCGGAGCUAAUACCGGAUAGUUCAACGGACCGCAUGGUCCGCUGAUGAAAGGCGCUCCGGCGUCACCUUGAGAUGGCCUUGCGGUGCAUUAGCUAGUUGGUGGGGUAACGGCUCACCAAGGCGACGAUGCAUAGCCGACAUGGGGAGGGGAUCGGCCACACUGGGACUGAGACACGGCCCAGACUCCUACGGGAGGCAGCAGGAGGGAAUAUUCCACAAUGGGCGAAAGUCUGAUGGAGCAACGCCGCGUGAGUGAUGAAGGUUUUGGGAUCGUAAAACUCUGUUGUAAGGGAAGAACACGUACGAGAGGAAAUGCUCGUACCUUGACGGUACCUUACGAGAAAGCCACGGCUAACUACGUGCCAGCAGCCGCCGUAAUAC
rnacentral:rRNA from 1 species